rfam:Micavibrio aeruginosavorus ARL-13, complete genome.
GGGCCCAUAGCUCAGCUGGGAGAGCGCCUGCAUGGCAUGCAGGAGGUCGUCGGUUCGAUCCCGAUUGGGUCCA